rnacentral:rRNA from 1 species
UAGGGAAUCUUCCGCAAUGGACGCAAGUCUGACGGAGCAACGCCGCGUGAGUGAAGAAGGAUUUCGGUUCGUAAAACUCUGUUGUUAGAGAAGAACAGCGCAUAGAGUAACUGUUAUGCGUGUGACGGUAUCUAACCAGAAAGCCACGGCUAACUACGUGCCAGCAGCCGCGGUAAUACGUAGGUGGCAAGCGUUGUCCGGAUUUAUUGGGCGUAAAGCGAGCGCAGGCGGUCAAUUAAGUCUGAUGUGAAAGCCCCCGGCUCAACCGGGGAGGGUCAUUGGAAACUGGUUGACUUGAGUGCAGAAGAGGAGAGUGGAAUUCCAUGUGUAGCGGUGAAAUGCGUAGAUAUAUGGAGGAACACCAGUGGCCAAGGCGACUCUCUGGUCUGUAACUGACGCUGAGGCUCGAAAGCGUGGGUAGCAAACAGG